rnacentral:pre_miRNA from 1 species
GAUUUGGCUGUUGUGGUGUGCAAAACUUUGUACCUCGUUUUUUGCCACACUGCAACACUUUACAGA